UUGUGGAGGAGGACACCGAAGGUGGGGCUAAUGACUGGGGUGAAGUCGUAACAAGGUAGCCGUGCCGGAAGGUGCGGCUGGAUCACCUCCUAACAGGGAGACAACAAAAUGUUUAAUAUUAUUAUUUUGUCACCUUAGGUCGAUCGGUAUCUCACGUUCUUAAUUUUAUUAAGAAUUUCAUUUCCUAAGUUUUUCUAGGUCACACCCAUUAUUUUCCUGGGCCAUUAGCUCAGGUGGUUAGAGCGCACCCCUGAUAAGGGUGAGGUCCCUGGUUCAAGUCCAGGAUGGCCCAUAUCUCUAUGUUGGGGGUAUAGCUCAGUUGGUAGAGCGCCUGCUUUGCAAGCAGGAUGUCAGCGGUUCGAGUCCGCUUACCUCCACUGAUUACCACCUCUUCCAUAAUCUUUAGAAAGGAAAAUUUUGAGUUGUGACACAUUUCUGAACGAAUCUAGCUUCCUAAUGAAAUCAUUAAGAUGCUGGACUCAUUGAAUUAAUUUCAUUGUUUUCAGAGAACCUUGACAACUGCAUAGAUUAUUUUUAAAGACAAUAAGCAUCUUUAAUGAUGCAGAUUUAUUAUUUGUGCGAAUGCAUUAAUAACAAUUCUAUUAAGCUGAUGCUUCAAUUAUGAAGUUAUUGGUCAAGCUACAA
rnacentral:misc_RNA from 1 species